AUGGAGUCUCGCACUGUUGCCCGGGCUAGAAUGCAGUGGUGCAAUCCGACUCACUGCAACCUCUGCCUCUCGGGUUCAAGUGAUUCUCCUGCUUCAGCCUCCUGAUUUGCUGGAAUUACAGAGCAAACCAGUGAGAAAAUGGCCUUCGUACUCCUGAGAGACCUUUCACCAGGCUUUCUACUUUUGAAUUCUCUCCAUAGCUGGUUUCCUCUUAGGCUCCGAUAGAGCAGUCCCUGAAUCACACAGGCAUGCUGACUACGUCCUUUCCUGGUACAAACCAUCAUGUGGGAAACACACAGCAAGAAGCAUCUUCAGGUCACAAGAUAGGUAAUACCAUCUGCCUGAAUUUUUUCAAAAGCAGCAGAAUAUUUAGUUUUCUAUUUCAGUGGCUUCUAACAGAGAUCAUUGUUUGCACAAGACUAAAUGUCUGCAGUCGUCGUC
rnacentral:lncRNA from 1 species